rnacentral:rRNA from 1 species
CACCGCCCGUCACACCAUGGGAGUGGGUUCCACCAGAAGUAGUUAGCAUAACCGCAAGGAGGGCGACUACCACGGUGAGAUUCAUGACUGGAGUG